rnacentral:misc_RNA from 1 species
CUGAAACAGGUUAGUUUUACCCUACUGAUG